UACGUAGGGCGCAAGCGUUAUCCGGAAUUAUUGGGCGUAAAGAGCUCGUAGGCGGUGUGUCGCGUCGGCCGUGAAACCUGCAGCUUAACUGUGGGCUUGCGGUCGAUACGGGCAUCACUGGAGUUCGGUAGGGGAGAUCGGAAUUCCUGGUGUAGCGGUGAAAUGCGCAGAUAUCAGGAGGAACACCGGUGGCGAAGGCGGGAUCUCUGGGCCUUACCUGACGCUCAGGUGCGAAAGCUAGGGGAGCGA
rnacentral:rRNA from 1 species